UACAGAGGGUGCGAGCGUUAAUCGGAAUUACUGGGCGUAAAGCGCACGUAGGCGGCUUGGUAUGUCGGGUGUGAAAUCCCCGGGCUCAACCUGGGAACUGCAUCCGAGACUGCCUUGCUAGAGUAUGGGAGAGGGAAGUGGAAUUUCCGGUGUAGCGGUGAAAUGCGUAGAUAUCGGAAGGAACAUCAGUGGCGAAGGCGACUUCCUGGACCAAUACUGACGCUCAGGUGCGAAAGCGUGGGGAGCAAACAGG
rnacentral:rRNA from 1 species